rnacentral:rRNA from 1 species
UAUUAAUAUUAUAGCUCCGGCGGUUAAAGAUGGGCGCGCGCCUGAUUAGGUAGUUGGCGGGGUAACGGCCCACCAAGCCUUCGAUCAGUAACUGGUGUGAGAGCACGACCAGUCACACGGGCACUGAGACACGGGCCCGACUCCUACGGGAGGCAGCAGUAAGGAAUAUUGGUCAAUGGACGCAAGUCUGAACCAGCCAUGCCGCGUGGAGGAUUAAGGCCCUCUGGGUUGUAAACUCCUUUUAUCUGGGAAGAAAUGCUUUGAUUCUUCAAAGCUUGACGGUACCAGAGGAAUAAGCACCGGCUAACUCCGUGCCAGCAGCCGCGGUAAUACGGAGGGUGCAAGCGUUAUCCGGAUUCACUGGGUUUAAAGGGUGCGUAGGCGGGUAAGUAAGUCCGUGGUGAAAUCUCUGAGCUUAACUCAGAAACUGCCGUGGAUACUAUUUGCCUUGAAUAUUGUGGAGGUGAGCGGAAUAUGUCAUGUAGCGGUGAAAUGCUUAGAUAUGACAUAGAACACCAAUUGCGAAGGCAGCUCACUACACAAUCAUUGACGCUGAGGCACGAAAGCGUGGGGAUCAAACAGGAUUAGAUACCCUGGUAGUCCACGCCCUAAACGAUGAUUACUCGACAUCAGCGAUACACUGUUGGUGUCUGAGCGAAAGCAUUAAGUAAUCCACCUGGGAAGUACGACCGCAAGGUUGAAACUCAAAGGAAUUGACGG